AGUGAACGCUGGCGGUAGGCCUAACACAUGCAAGUCGAACGGCAGCACAGUAAGAGCUUGCUCUUACGGGUGGCGAGUGGCGGACGGGUGAGGAAUACAUCGGAAUCUACUUUUUCGUGGGGGAUAACGUAGGGAAACUUACGCUAAUACCGCAUACGACCUACGGGUGAAAGCAGGGGAUCUUCGGACCUUGCGCGAAUGAAUGAGCCGAUGUCGGAUUAGCUAGUUGGUGGGGUAAAUGCCCACCAAGUCGACGAUCCGUAGCUGGUCUGAGAGGAUGAUCAGCCACACUGGAACUGAGACACGGUCCAGACUCCUACGGGAGGCAGCAGUGGGGAAUAUUGGACAAUGGGCGCAAGCCUGAUCCAGCCAUACCGCGUGGGUGAAGAAGGCCUUCGGGUUGUAAAGCCCUUUUGUUGGGAAAGAAAAGCAGCAGGUUAAUACCCCGCUGUUCUGACGGUACCCAAAGAAUAAGCACCGGCUAACUUCGUG
rnacentral:rRNA from 1 species